rnacentral:rRNA from 1 species
UACGAAGGGGGCUAGCGUUGUUCGGAAUUACUGGGCGUAAAGGCGCACGUAGGCGGGUUGUUAAGUCAGGGGGUGAAAUCCUGGGAGCUCAACCUCCAGUAACUAGCCUUUGAUACUGGCAACCUAGAGAGCUGGAAGAGUUAGUGGAAUUCCCAGUGUAGAGGUGAAAUUCGUAGAUAUUGGGAAGAGCACCAGUGGCGAAGGCGGCUAACUGGUCCAGCACUGACGCUGAGGUGACGAAGCGUGGGGGAGCAAACAGG